rnacentral:rRNA from 1 species
GAGUUUGAUCGUGGCUCAGAUUGAACGCUGGCGGCAUGCCUUACACAUGCAAGUCGAACGGCAGCACGGGAGCUUGCUCCUGGUGGCGAGUGGCGAACGGGUGAGUAAUGCAUCGGAACGUAUCCUGGAGUGGGGGAUAACGUAGCGAAAGUUACGCUAAUACCGCAUAUUCUGUGAGCAGGAAAGCGGGGGACCUUCGGGCCUCGCGCUCUUGGAGCGGCCGAUGUCGGAUUAGCUAGUUGGUGAGGUAAAGGCUCACCAAGGCGACGAUCCGUAGCAGGUCUGAGAGGAUGAUCUGCCACACUGGAACUGAGACACGGUCCAGACUCCCACGGGAGGCAGCAGUGGGGAAUUUUGGACAACGGGGGCAACCCUGAUCCAGCCAUGCCGCGUGAGUGAAGAAGGCC